UACGUAGGGGGCCAGCGUUGUCCGGAUUCAUUGGGCGUAAAGAGCGUGUAGGCGGCUAGGUAGGUCCGAUGUGAAAACUCGAGGCUCAACCUCGAGAUGUCAUCGGAAACCAUCUGGCUAGAGUCCGGAAGAGGAGAGUGGAAUUCCUGGUGUAGCGGUGAAAUGCGCAGAUAUCAGGAAGAACACCCAUGGCGAAGGCAGCUCUCUGGGACGGUACUGACGCUGAGACGCGAAAGCGUGGGGAGCGAACAGG
rnacentral:rRNA from 1 species